rnacentral:rRNA from 1 species
CCUACGGGGAGCAGCAGUGAGGAAUAUUGGUCAAUGGACGAGAGUCUGAACCAGCCAAGUAGCGUGAAGGAUGACUGCCCUAUGGGUUGUAAACUUCUUUUAUAAAGGAAUAAAACGAGGCACGUGUGCCUUUUUGCAUGUACUUUAUGAAUAAGGAUCGGCUAACUCCGUGCCAGCAGCCGCGGUAAUACGGAGGAUCCGAGCGUUAUCCGGAUUUAUUGGGUUUAAAGGGAGCGUAGAUGGGUUGUUAAGUCAGUUGUGAAAGUUUGCGGCUCAACCGUAAAAUUGCAAUUGAUACUGGCAGUCGUGAGUACAGUUGAGGUAGGCGGAAUUCGUGGUGUAGCGGUGAAAUGCUUAGAUAUCACGAAGAACCCCGAUUGCGAAGGCAGCUUACUAAACUGUGACUGACAUUGAUGCUCGAAAGUGUGGGUAUCAAACAGGAUUAGAUACCCUUGUAGUC